rnacentral:rRNA from 1 species
UACGGGGGGGGCAAGCGUUGUUCGGAAUUACUGGGCUUAAAGAGUUCGUAGGCGGCGCAGAAAGUAGGGUGUGAAAGCCCUCGGCUCAACCGAGGAAUUGCGCCCUAAACUACUGUGCUUGAGGAACCUAGAGGUGAGCGGAACUGAUGGUGGAGCGGUGAAAUGCGUUGAUAUCAUCAGGAACACCGGAGGCGAAGGCGGCUCACUGGGGGGUUAUCUAGGCACGCUGAGGGAACGAAAGCCAGGGGAGCGAACGGG